UACGUAGGGGGCAAGCGUUAUCCGGAUUUACUGGGUGUAAAGGGAGUGUAGGUGGCCGUGCAAGUCAGAUGUGAAAUCCCGGGGCUCAACCGCGGGACUGCAUUUGAAACUGCGUGGCUGGAGUGCAGGAGAGGUAAGCGGAAUUCCUAGUGGAGCGGUGAAAUGCGUAGAUAUUAGGAGGAACACCAGUGGCGAAGGCGGCCUACUGGACUGUAACUGACGCUGAGGCGCGAAAGUCGGGGGAGCAAAC
rnacentral:rRNA from 1 species